CACUGUGCCAGCCAGGCACCCCUAAAGUAUUGAGAUUUUAUGUUAGGGGACACCUAUAUGAGUUUUCUAUUGGUUCUGUAAUAAAUUAACAUAACCUUAGUGGCUUAAACAACGCAAGUUUAUUACCCUACAGUUCUAUGGAUUAUAAGUUCAACAUGGAUUUUCCUCUGCUAAAGUUAAGGAUUUUCCUGUCAGUAGGAGUUCCUCUCUGUAGGCUCUAAGGGAGAAUCUGUUUCGUUGCCUUUUCCAGCUUCCAGAGGCCGUCCCCGCUCCUUGCCUCCUGUCUCCCUUUCCCCUCAUCUUCACAGCCAGCAAUGGUGUGUGGAUUUCUUGUCACAUCACAUCUCUCUGGAUUCUUCUGCUUUUCACUUAUGGGGACCCUUGUGAUGACAUUUGGCCCACCUGAAUAAUCCAGGAAAUCUCCCUAUUUUUGGGUUAUCUGAUUAGCAACUGUAAUUUCAUCAGCAUCCUGAAUCCCCCUUUGCCAUGUGAUGUAGCAUGUUCACAGGUUCCAGAGAUUAGAAAGUGGAUAUCUUCUGGUGGGCACGAUUCUGCCUACCACAGCACCUGUGGUACCACUGACAAGGUGUGUGGCUCGGGGAUAUACUGCUUAAAGUGAAUUUGCUUUUGAGUCCUUAGAAUCAAGUGAAGUCAGGAGCAGGGAGCAUUAUUCCUGGGGACGUCAUUAACAUGACCUGUGAAAUCUGUGACCAGAAUCCGAGUGACAAUCUAGAAGAAUAAAAGGACAAAGAUCUCAGUUCUGGCCAUUUUCCAAGAGCAGAAGGAAAGGACCAAGGUCCAAGGUACCAAAAUACCAGACCAUGGAAAUCUUCAAAUGGAAGCUAGGAGAUAAACCAUAAAUGGAAAAGGAAAACCAUGCUUGGAGCUUUCCAGAAGUUUGAGAAGUUGGUGAUCAUAUGCAGUGGCCUUUGGAAAUCCAAAACAAGCUAAAGAAUAUGGAAAGAUGUACCCCAAUGUUUAUAGAAGCACUUUCAACAAUAGCCAAAUUCUGGAAAGAGCCUAAAUGUCCAUCAACUGAUGAAUGGAUAAAGAA